rnacentral:lncRNA from 1 species
UUUUCUAUUUUCUUUCUUCUUUUCUUAUAGCCCUUUUACUAUCCAAACGGCGCCGUUCCUUUCUCUCCCUCCAAUCACAAGCCAGCAUUCUUUUCUUUUUGUUGAAUUCUGGAAGCAGCUCGAUUCCGAAAAUCCUCGGUGUGGCCCCGUUUACUCAAUUUCUUUUCGCUUUUCUUUUUCUUUUUUCCAUUCUCCAAUGGGGAGGCGGCGUUGAUGCUCGCCGACGCUGGAUGCAGCGAGCCCCUCUCGUGGUCGGCUAUCGCAGGGCGGUAGUGCAUGAGCUUUUGAGAGAGGCGGCGCCGGAGAUCGAGGUGAGAGGAGAAGUCGGCCCAGCCCGUAGGUGAAGAUCGCCAUCUCUCAUAUGAAAAACAAUUUAAUUAAAUAAAAUUAAAUCUGAGCUCGUUUUUUCUGUAACGCCCCUCCGCCUCAUUUUCGCUCUCAAUUCCGAGCAACGGCGGCACUGAUUCAAGGUUAGUUCAUAUAUUCAUUGUUAAUGAGUAUCGAAUUUUUGUUUUAUCGUAUUCUUUUAGCUUUUUUUGGAAUUGAAAAGGGAUACCGUUUAGUUAUUUUUAAUCAAAGUUGGAUUUUUUUAUCCUAAUUGUGGAAUUGAUCCCAAAAAUGGUAUGUGCAUUAGGUUGGGCCGCCAUUCUUUUCUUUUUGUUUAAUUCUGGAAGCAGCUCUGCAGAACAUCCUACCUGAGUUAAUGGAGGCGUGGCGGCGGCUGCCGUCGGAGGAGGCAACAGAGUUGGUGGACAUUCGGCUGGGAAACAGAGGUCGACAUAUUUGCCGGAGUGGCUUGCCCCUUCUCUAUGCCCACCAAGUCAACAAAAUAAUUUUCCAUACUAGGCGAUCUCUGGCUCUUGGUCAUAAAUUUAAAUUUCGAAUAUCACGAACUAUCGAUUAGUAAGAUUAAUAUAAAUGGGUAUGAAACAAUCAUAGUACCCACUUUUCUGCAGUUUUUUUGGCUUUUGUUUGGC